UACGGAGGGGGCUAGCGUUGCUCGGAAUCACUGGGCGUAAAGCGCACGUAGGCGGCUUUUUAAGUCAGAGGUGAAAUCCUGGAGCUCAACUCCAGAACUGCCUUUGAUACUGGAGAGCUUGAGUCCGGGAGAGGUGAGUGGAACUGCGAGUGUAGAGGUGAAAUUCGUAGAUAUUCGCAAGAACACCAGUGGCGAAGGCGGACUCACUGGCCCGGUACUGACGCUGAGGUGCGAAAGCGGUGGGG
rnacentral:rRNA from 1 species